AACAUCGCGCACCUGCGGGAACCUGCGGAAGGAUCAUUACCAGAGCGCCGAAAGGCCGCUUGAAACCACCGCGAACCUCUCCGCAACGUUGCCUCGGCGGGCAGCCGCCCCGGGAAAGCCGGGCGCGGCGCGGCGGGCCCCCAAGCCUCUCCGGAGGCGGGGCCGCCACCCGCCGGAGGCGCCGAAACCCUUCGCAUCCAGUGUAACCUCUGAGUAGCAAGCAAAUAAGUCAAAACUUUU
rnacentral:misc_RNA from 1 species